GACGAACGCUGGCGGCGUGCCUAAUACAUGCAAGUCGUACGCAUUGAUAAUGGAACUUGUUCCAUUUGACGUGAGUGGCGCACGGGUGCGUAACGCGUAUGUAACCUACCUCAAACAGGGGCAUAACACCGAGAAAUUGGUACUAAUUCCCUAUAAUACUUUGGAAGGCAUCUUCUGGAGUUGAAAGUUCCGGCGGUUUGAGAUGGGCAUGCGUUGUAUUAGCUAGUUGGUGAGGUAACGGCUCACCAAGGCGACGAUACAUAGGGGGACUGAGAGGUUAACCCCCCACAUUGGUACUGAGACACGGACCAA
rnacentral:rRNA from 1 species